rnacentral:snRNA from 1 species
UAUAUGAAUUAAGCUUAUUAAA